rnacentral:lncRNA from 1 species
ACAGUAGUUUAUGGUGGUUGAUAACAUGUUGAGAAACCAUACACUCCUCAUGGCCUAAACCAAUCAGUUCAAAGGAAUCCUCCUCUUGAACUAGCCAAUCACCCCUACCCAACUUGUUCCUACAAGUGAAUGUGCUAAUCAAUGUUAAGAGCUGUUGUUUGACUUUCCCUCUGUGUGAAAUGAUUUGCUGUUUGAUGUUGUGACACAUAGAGUAUCCCCCAAAACCUAUAAAAUCUCACUAAACAAAGGAGCAGGACUCACUCCCAAACCACUCUGUGUGUAAAUGUAUUUCCCUAUUCUGGACAUUUCAUAUAUGACCUGCCCUGAGUGAUUUCUUUCACUUAGCAUUAUGUUUCUGAGGUUCUUUUAUUGUACAAUAAAUUAGUGUUUUAUUUCUUUUCAUGGAUGAAUAAUUUUCCAUUGUGUGGACAGACCACAUUUUGUGUAUUCAUUCAUUGGUUAAUGGACAUUUGGGUGAAUAAUUCUGCUAUCUACAUUCAUUUACACAUAUUGAUUUAUGUUUUCACUCCUUUGAGGCAUGUAACUAGGAGUGGAGUGGAUGAGUUAUGUGCUAACUCUAUGUCUGAUUUUUCAAGAAACUCCCCAACUGUUGUGGUUUCAAUAUUAGGUGUCCCCUGAAAGUUCAUGUGUGCAGACAAUGCAAGACAGUUUAGUGUUGGGACCUGACCUGGAUGAACUCGUCUUCAAGUGCUGAUGUCCCAGGGCUUUGGCUAAUUACUACAUUUUGUAGUGAGUUGGGCAUUGUCCCAGCUCAGGUAGCAAGUUGUGGCUCCAGGUGUAGGUGUCACCCAAGGGGGUUGAGCUACACUCACCUGUUCCUUUGUAAUCCUACCCCUUGCCUCAUUUGAACAGCUUCUCCCCAAUAAAAGGGUUCAGCACGUGCUCCUCUCUAUCUUUCUUGCCUGCCUUGCCCCCCUUGUGGGAGCUGCAGCUGAGAAGCGGUCACUGAACCCAAAGAAAAGGUACUUUCUGUGUCUGUGUCUUUAUUUAUUCCCCAAAUUCACUUGGAGUGACCCUGACUGGUUUAGUCGCGAGAUGUGACAGUUUAAUGGUAAAAUAAUUGGGUUGUGAGAGCUUUAACCUCAUCAGUGCGUUAAUUCUCUGAUAUGGAUAAACUGGGUGAUAACUGUACACACACAGGGUGUGUCUGGAGGGUGAGACACAUAGGGUGCGUCCCUGGAGGCAUGCCUUGGGGUCUAUAUUUUGUCCUCAUUGAGUGGAGUUCACUCUCUGCUUCCUGAUUAUCAUGUCUGAGCUGCUUUCCUCACCGCCCUCUUCUGCCAUGAGGUUCUGCCUCACCUCAAGCCACAAAGAAUGGAGCUGGCUGUCUAUUGUCUGAAUCCAUGAGCCCCAAAUAAGCUUUUCCUUCUCUAAAAUUGUUCUUGUCAGGUUGCAGCAAUGGAAACGAUGAUGAAAACACUGAUUGUCUCCCACAGUGAAUGCACCACUUUUACAUUCCCAUCAGCAAUGUUAAGUGUUCCGGUUUCUCCAUAUCCUAAAAACACUUGUUAUUUUCUGUUUUUUUUUUUUUAAAUAUUAUGAACUAUUUAGUGUGCAUGCAGUAAACCUUAGUGUUGAUUCUUAAAGUCUUUCAUCUAUUCUGGGUAGAGCUUGGCUGAGGAUAAAACCACAACAAGAAAAAAGCAGAUAGAACUUGCAGAGAAACAUAAAACCCUGGGGAUAAUUGAGUGCUGGAUAUAGCCACACCUAAAACUGUCUUCUGGCCUUCUUUGCUAUAAAAAUGAAGCAACCUCCCCCUGACAACUCUUUUUUAAACUAAAUUUUGUUUCAUUGCAAUAUUCCUGAUUAAUACAAACACUUUUGAUAGAAUGGGAAUGGGGAAAAAUCUUUCUCUUGUAAGGGUAAAAGAAAUUGAAGUUAAAGUGUAAAAGACCGGGCAUUGUAAAGUUUCUAAGCUGCAAGGCCUGAGUUAAAAUGUAAAGGACCAGGUAUUGUUAAGUUCCUAUGCUACAUGCAAAACCUGAAAUUCCUGUAGCUGUUAAGACAAUACUCGAACUGCCCAGUAGAUAUUCCCCCUGAUCGCCUGGUUGUUUAAUAACUUAAGGGCCCUGUGUGGCCUUGCACGUAGGCAUCGCAGGGCCUGGACCAAUCAGUUUGAAUGUGUACCCCGCUUUAGAACUGACCUAUCACCCCUGCCCGACCUGUUCCCACCAAUGAAUGAACUAAUCAUGUCUCAGAAUUGUUGUUUGAUUUUCCCGUGGUGUAUGAUGAUUUGUUAAAGGAGACUGUGAUGUAUGUAAAGUCCCGCCCUCCCCAAGAAGUGUACUUAAGCAGUGCUCAGCCCCUGCUCUGGGCUCUGGGCUGCUCUCCUUUCUUGAGUGGGCACGGAGCCCCAGCAUGCUGGAUCAAAAAAUCCCCUUCUGCCAAUUGCAUGAGUGGUCUCUUGGUGGUCUCUUUCUCCGACGCUUCGCCGGAC